GUCUGAUUUUAUAAUGCUUAUACAAUGCAUCUUCUGACAUAACAGUUCACUCUUCUGGCCAUUUACCUAAUCUCCUAUUCAAAUACCAUACAGCUCUAAUCACAACUCUGAACAAUUUCAAAAAUAACAAAAAAAUCUCUGAACGAUUUCAACUAGAAAAAUUAGUUCUAAGAAGUAACUUUCAAGCGAAAGACAAUGCAUUUUGGUACGCCUCGAUUUCAAGUGACUUUAAAGUGGACAGGCAUGGAGAGCAGAGAGCAGCGUGCAAGGAUUCAAUCAGCCAAAUAACAGGCAUGCCAUUGCGCUGAUCCAUUGUCUGCUUAUUGUACAUGCAGAUCCUUUCCCUUGAAUCCUUAAUGUAAACAUCAACAGUGAAGUGCCAAAGCCUAUCAGACAAAGUGCACAUAAAAAUAGUGCACUCAGCAAUUGUAACAUGAGGGAGUCUUCCAUGAAAAUAAUUUGUGGCCUAUAUGCUGGUGAUGCAAGUUGCAGUAGAUAUUUAUCUCGAGUUGCGGCAUGCUUGAGUAGCUCGCACCUGCAGUAUUAGCUUGGUUCCAUUUUUGGCCAAUGGAAUGCACCUUUGCUCGGAGGGCUUAUAAUCCAGACUAAGAAUAAGAUCCUCUUUACUCUUCUAAUUAAAAGCAGCAAUGAACUGUUGCAUUUCACAUCACAAUUGCAAGCAGUGAUCAAGAAACAGACAUUUCCAAAAAGGAAUUCCUAAGGUUCUAUGGACAUGUUCCAAAUUUAAACAAG
rnacentral:misc_RNA from 1 species